UGCCUCUCAGGGUCGUACCUGGAGAGUUUCCAGGACUCUACCAGCCUUGGCUAUGGGAGGGAGAGUCAAGCAAAGACCUACCCAUUCCAUUCCUAGCUUAGCCAGUGGCUUGUGAGUGGAAGGCAAUCUGCUACAAGU